rfam:Burkholderia sp. STM 7183 genome assembly, contig: CYGY01000008
GUCAAUCACCCCGGCCUGAAGGCCGAGGCUUGAGGAGGAGCACCUCUUGAGUCUGAGAUUGACCAGACCCAGCGCGGUGACGCGCUACGUUGUGCAGAAGGCAGCCGACCCACCGUCGAAUCCUUCCUCAGUUCGACGCUCUGGAAGUUGCAGCAGCAGACAAGCCCCGGGUAGGUACGAAACGGGCUGCGACGGGUGAGCUACCUCACCACCUGCUACACAACAUGGUCGAGGGGAGCGGAGC